rnacentral:rRNA from 1 species
CCUACGGGGGGCUGCAGUGGGGAAUAUUGGACAAUGGGGGGAACCCUGAUCCAGCCAUGCCGCGUGUGUGAAGAAGGCCCUCGGGUCGUAAAGCACUUUCAGUGAGGAAGAACGCCUGGUGGUUAAUACCCAUCAGGAAAGACAUCACUCACAGAAGAAGCACCGGCUAACUUCGUGCCAGCAGCCGCGGUAAUACGGAGGGUGCGAGCGUUAAUCGGAAUUACUGGGCGUAAAGCGCGCGUAGGUGGCUUGAUAAGCCGGUUGUGAAAGCCCCGGGCUCAACCUGGGAACGGCAUCCGGAACUGUCAAGCUAGAGUGAAGGAGAGGAAGGUAGAAUUCCCGGUGUAGCGGUGAAAUGCGUAGAGAUCGGGAGGAAUACCAGUGGCGAAGGCGGCCUUCUGGACUGACACUGACACUGAGGUGCGAAAGCGUGGGUAGCAAACAGGAUUAGAUACCCUAGUAGUC